rnacentral:misc_RNA from 1 species
GAUGAAGAACGUAGCGAAAUGCGAUACGUAAUGUGAAUUGCAGAAUUCAGUGAAUCAUCGAAUCUUUGAACGCAUAUUGCGCUCUCUGGUAUUCCGGAGAGCAUGCUUGUUUGAGUAUCAGUAAACACCUCAACUCCCUUUCUUCUUGAAAUGGAGCUGGACUUGAGUGAUCCCAACGCUUUAUUCAUAAAGUGGCGGGUUACUUGAAAUGCAGGUGCAGCUGGACUUUUCUCUGAGCUAUAAGCAUAUCUAUUUAGUCUGCCUCAAAACAGAUUAUUACCUUUGCUGCAGCUAACAUAAAGGAGAUUAGUUCUUGUGCUGACUGAUGCAGGAUUCACAAAGACCGCUUCGGCUGUCUUUGUAAACUCGAUCUCAAAUCAAGUAAGACUACCCGCUGAACUUAAGCAUAUCAAUAAGCGGAGGA